AGCUUUGUACAGUGGCAGUAUCAUAGCCAAUGAAGUUUAUCCAAGGAGUGAUUAUUGCUAAUUGAAAACUAAAAGUACAUCU
rnacentral:snRNA from 1 species